rnacentral:rRNA from 1 species
UACGUAGGGUGCAAGCGUUGUCCGGAAUUAUUGGGCGUAAAGAGCUCGUAGGCGGUUUGUCGCGUCUGCUGUGAAAACUCGGGACUUAACCCCGGGCCUGCAGUGGGUACGGGCAGACUAGAGUGCGGUAGGGGAGACUGGAAUUCCUGGUGUAGCGGUGAAAUGCGCAGAUAUCAGGAGGAACACCGGUGGCGAAGGCAGGUCUCUGGGCCACUACUGACGCUGAGAAGCGAAAGCAUGGGGAGCGAACAGG